UACGUAGGUGGCGAGCGUUGUCCGGAUUUACUGGGCGUAAAGGGAGCGUAGGCGGAUUUUUAAGUGAGAUGUGAAAUACCCGGGCUCAACUUGGGUGCUGCAUUUCAAACUGGAAGUCUAGAGUGCAGGAGAGGAGAGUGGAAUUCCUAGUGUAGCGGUGAAAUGCGUAGAGAUUAGGAAGAACACCAGUGGCGAAGGCGACUCUCUGGACUGUAACUGACGCUGAGGCUCGAAAGCGUGGGAGCAAACAGGG
rnacentral:rRNA from 1 species